rfam:Tupaia chinensis contig120189, whole genome shotgun sequence.
GUGGUUGCUUCGGCAGCACAUAUACUAAAAUUGGAAUGAUACAUGGAAGAUUAGCAUGGCCCCUGUGCAAGGAUAACACACAAAUUCAUGAAGUGUUCCGUAUUUUC